rnacentral:lncRNA from 1 species
AUUCAACUUUAUAGCUUUAUUUUCAUUUAGGGUUUUUCUUGGUGAAAUGAGGUGAAACAUUUUCUCUCAUUUUUCUCAAAAGAGGCCGGCCACCUAGGGAAGGAAUAGCUAGCAAUCUCUUCUUCCCUAAGUCAUCCAUUUCAUCUUCACAUCACAUCCUUGGUGAAGAGACUUAGAGACAUCAAGCUUUUAAUGUUUUGGAGAACAAAUCCUCAAAUCCUCAAAGAAGCAAAGGAGCACUAAAAGGAGGAAAAUCACAAGGAAGAUCCAAGAAGCAAGGAGGUGACUUGAAGGCCCUCCACUUGGGUGAAUCCCUUGUGUAAUCAAGGAUGAGCUUCAAGGGUAAAGAAACUCUAAAUCUUUCCCUCUCUUUAAUGUUGUUAAAGAGUUUAUUGGUUCACCAUAUACUAGGCUUUGAAAGUCAUGGGUUUUAUGAAUUGUUUUUUAAUGCAUGCCUACUUUAAUGUGUUAAUAGUUUGCAUAUGUAUUCAAAUAUUCUUACUUGUUCUUAGCUAGGACAAAAUUUUUCCUUCACUUUGGCCGAAGAACCUACGAUGCCAAAGUUAGAAUUUUGAGGGAAAAAUGUAUGGAGAAUUUAGAGAAUUUAGCAAGAGAAUUGGAAUUGAGUUUUGGAGAGAAUGAGGUAGUAUUUAUAGGGGUGUGGCCGGCCCCUUUAGGAGGAGGAGGACCAGCCACUUGGUUGGUAUUUUGGGUGAGGUUCAUGAUUUGUAGCUAAUUAGGAAUAAUUGAAUAAUAAAUCAAUUAAUUAGCUAAUUAAUAGAAUAAUUUCCUAAUUGAUUAGCUAAUUGAUAUAAUAAAAGAGGAAUGAUUUGGGAGUUACCUUGUGGAGAGGAUUUGAUGAGGAUGAAUGAAAUAGGUUUUGAAUUAUUACCUAUAUUGGGCACUUUUGACUUAAUUGAGGGAUGAUUGCCAACUGCUCGCGUGAAGGAGUCCCGGUGUGCCUCAAGGGUAAUUUUGUCCCAUUAACCCAAAAAUCCACGUGUCGCCUUGUGAUUAUUUUUGGCUCCAUAGACUAUGUGGUGGGAUUAGUUGGAACUUUUGGAAAGAUGUUUUGAUUUUUAACAUUUUCUAUGGAUUGCAACUUGAAGAUGAAAAUUUUGUCUUAGUUGAGUUUUAAUAAAGUUUUUUGGUUUGUUAGUUUUUUUGUUUUUGUUUUUGGGUUUUGUUUUGCUUGAGGAAAAGCAAAAAGCUAAGUUUGGGGGUAUUUGAUGAGUCCAUAUUAUACCAUAUAGUUUACUCUAUUCUUAGUUAUAGUUUAAUGGUUAUUUUGGUAGAAUUUUGAUACUUUGUUAUAUAUUUUCAAUGUAGAACAUUUGACUUCCUCUAGAGAAAAACAUUACCAAACGGAUGAAUUUUAGAGUGAUUCUAAUUGGAGGAUGUUCAUUAUUCUUCCAAGAUGAUUGUAUCAAAAUUCCAGAUUUUUCUACCAAACCAUUUGAUCGUGACAAAGAAAAUAAGACCCAGCGUGCAGCUUUCCCAUAUUGAUGUUUCUGGACGUUUUAGGUAUUUUGGAGGUCAAGCUGGCAUAUUUUCAGGAAGAUUCCUUCUGAGGAUUUGUUAGGGACGUCUCAAGCUUUAAAAAGAGACCCUUUGGGACCAAAUCAAAUUUAUUUGGUUGGUCAAAAGUCUUAUUUUUAGAGAAGUCUGAAUUUCUGUUCAAAUAUGAAACCUUUUAUUUCCUAGUUAUCUUAUUCUAUUCUAUUUCCUAGUUUUUAGAAGACUUUUCUAGUAAGGGUUUUAUUUUGUAAUAGUAUAAAUAAGACUUAUUAGCCAUUAGGAAGGGGGGUGCAUUAUUUUUGGAGAAUUUCAGACAUUUUACUUACAAGGUGUUUUCUAUCCAUGUUCUUAAUAAUAUUUUGUUUUAUGGUUGUUUGUAACUAAUUUCCGUUUGCUAGGGUGAUGCCUUGAACCUUAGCAUGAAUAUUUAGUCUUUAUUUAAUUGCUUAUGAUAUUAUUGUGAACACGGAAAAUUCCUGAAACGAAAGAGACAAGAACAACGUGCACAAACAAAUAUUUGUAUUU